UACGGAGGGUGCUAGCAUUAAUCGGAUUUAUUGGGCGUAAAGGGCGCGUAGGCGGCAAGAUAAGUCAGAUGUGAAAUCCCGGGGCUCAACCUCGGAACAGCAUAUGAAACUAUCUUGCUAGAGGGUAGGCGGAGAAAACGGAAUUCCACAAGUAGCGGUGAAAUGCGUAGAUAUGUGGAAGAACACCGGUGGCGAAGGCGGUUUUCUAGCUUAUUCCUGACGCUGAGGCGCGAAAGCAAGGGGAUCAAACAGG
rnacentral:rRNA from 1 species